UUGCUCCGCUGACGAGUGGCGAACGGGUGAGUAAUAUAUCGGAACGUACCCAAGAGUGGGGGAUAACGUAGCGAAAGUUACGCUAAUACCGCAUACGAUCUAUGGAUGAAAGCAGGGGACCUUCGGGCCUUGUGCUCCUGGAGCGGCCGAUAUCUGAUUAGCUAGUUGGUGAGGUAAAGGCUCACCAAGGCGACGAUCAGUAGCUGGUCUGAGAGGACGACCAGCCACACUGGAACUGAGACACGGUCCAGACUCCUACGGGAGGCAGCAGUGGGGAAUUUUGGACAAUGGGCGCAAGCCUGAUCCAGCAAUGCCGCGUGAGUGAAGAAGGCCUUCGGGUUGUAAAGCUCUUUUGUCAGGGAAGAAACGGCUGUGGCUAAUAUCCACGGCUAAUGACGGUACCUGAAGAAUAAGCACCGGCUAACUACGUGCCAGCAGCCGCGGUAAUACGUAGGGUGCAAGCGUUAAUCGGAAUUACUGGGCGUAAAGCGUGCGCAGGCGGUUUUGUAAGUCUGUCGUGAAAUCCCCGGGCUCAACCUGGGAAUUGCGAUGGAGACUGCAAGGCUAGAAUCUGGCAGAGGGGGGUAGAAUUCCACGUGUAGCAGUGAAAUGCGUAGAGAUGUGGAGGAACACCGAUGGCGAAGGCAGCCCCCUGGGUCAAGAUUGACGCUCAUGCACGAAAGCGUGGGGAGCAAACAGGAUUAGAUACCCUGGUAGUCCACGCCCUAAACGAUGUCAACUAGUUGUCGGGUCUUCA
rnacentral:rRNA from 1 species